CUCGUCAACAACGUAACGCGAGCAUAUUACAAUUAUACAUUCAUCGAAAGAUUUCUUUUCAAUCGUUCAUCAUCGAUCGAUCAAAUCAAUCAAUCGAUCGAUCCGUUAUCUGACCCUGAGAAAAAUAUUGGAAAUUUGCUAGUGAAAGGUCUUAGAAUAUUUGACAUCAAUUCAUUGACUCGAAACUUGAACGAAUGUAAAAAUAUUUUUAUCGAGAACGAUGAAAUCUUUCUUAAUUAAUUUCUUCGUAAUCGUACUGAUAAGUGAGAAUGUAAUAGCAUUUCCUGUUAAUAUAUCAUCGUUACUAUUGAUGACGAAUGAUACAAAGAUGAAGGAAAAUGACGAAGAAAAGCCAAAGCCUAAAAAGCUUCCAAUAAUUCCGGUUUAUCAUAGAAUCAUAAUUGCUCCUUCUAUAGAAUGUGAUCCAGGACAAAAACGAGAUGAAAAGGGCAUCUGUAGACUUAAUAUAGAAUGACGGCCAAUAAAAAAUUUGUUUCUUAUA